GUGUGACCUUCAGCGUUCGACUCGUUCUACGGGGCAGUCUUCGGCCACGCGUGCAUCGAUACGUGCGUAUAAAUCGCUUGCCAGUUAACGAUGGUCAGUUCAUAAGCAUUGGCUGUUGUAAUCGCGUAUGUUAUUCUAGUUACUGUACACUUCCAAGCGUACACACGUAGCUCAAGAGUUUGAAAAUAGAAGGAAUGUCAUGCUCAGCGUUUCGUCUCGCUAAAGCGGAAACGGCAUUAUCAGCAGCAACAUGGCGGCCAAAGCGGCCUAUAAUUACUAGACAUCUGAACUGUGUUUAUAUGCGAUCGGCUUCUCUGCUCGCCGGUCACAUUGCCCCAUUACUUUUAUCGCUCAACAAGCAGACGAUAACACAAACGAUUACCAACCAAGUUAAUCAGAUACAUAAGUCUGUGUACAUAAUCAAUAUGUUUUUUGACGAAGUCACAUCUGUUGUGUAAUAUACGUUAUAAGCGGGAUUUCACCUGUUUAAGAAUAUACAUCUACUUCAACGAUGGCAUAGUAAUUGUACCCCUCAUAAUACAUGCGGAACACGGUCCGGGAAGGACGGAUUCAGCUAAACGAUGGUGCUGACUGAAGUAAACAUGAGCAGUCAAACAGCUGGGUUCAACUCAUGUAAUCGUAUGCUGUUCACCAGACGUUGCUGGUGAACCGACUCCAUCUUCAGGCGAUUGCUAAUCAUCGUUAGUAUAUGUUAGUUAGAGAAUGGCUUGCACGUUAGGCGGCAUAAUAUAGACGUGCUGCCGAGUGACGUUCGAGGCAGACGAGUGCUACAGAACAGCGAUCGCUCUUUCCCUCAGGCCAGCGAACAAGUGGCGCCCCCGACGG